rnacentral:rRNA from 1 species
UGGGGAAUAUUGCACAAUGGGGGAAACCCUGAUGCAGCGACGCCGCGUGAUUUAGAAGGCCUUCGGGUUGUAAAAAUCUUUUCUAUGGGAAGAAAAUGACAGUACCAUAGGAAUAAGGACCGGCUAAUUACGUGCCAGCAGCCGCGGUAAUACGUAAGGUCCGAGCGUUGUCCGGAAUCAUUGGGCGUAAAGGGUACGUAGGCGGGUAAGCAAGUUAGAAGUGAAAUCCUAUAGCUCAACUAUAGUAAGCUUUUAAAACUGCUCAUCUUGAGGUAUGGAAGGGAAAGUGGAAUUCCUAGUGUAGCGGUGAAAUGCGCAGAUAUUAGGAGGAAUACCGGUGGCGAAGGCGGCUCUCUGGUCUGUAACUGACGCUGAGGCUCGAAAGCGUGGGGAGCAAACAGG